AUGGCGAUCCCCUACCGGAUCACCGGCGGCCACGGCCGGCGGAGCCCGCUGCCGCUGCCCACCGCGAGGGCAAUCCUCGCCGCUGUCAUCACCGGGGCGGUCCUCUCCAUCCUCUGCGUCCUCUCAUUCACCCACUCCUUCUCCUACCUGGGGUUCCAGCCCAGGAGCGUCGACAAGCGGGAGAGCAGCCGCAAGUACCUCUACUGGGGCGCCCGCAUCGACUGCCCCGGCAAGCACUGCAGCUCCUGCGCCGGCCUCGGCCACCAGGAGUCCAGCCUCCGCUGCGCCCUCGAGGAGGCCCUCUUCCUCGACAGAAUAUUUGUCAUGCCCUCAAGGAUGUGCCUUAGUUCAGUGCACAACACAAAGGGGAUAAUUGAUUCAAGCAACGCAACUUCAAAUCCAAGAUGGGAAACGAGUUAUUGUGCAAUGGAAUCCUUAUAUGAUAUAGACCUCAUAUCGAAAACUGUACCUGUUGUUCUGGACAAUCCGCGUUCAUGGUAUGGGAUAGUAUCGAGAAGUACAAAACUGGGAGAAGGAGACGUAGCGCAUGUGCAAGGAGUUAGCAGGGAUGAACUCAAAGAUAAUCCACUUUACUCAGAUGCUCUUCUUGUAAACCGCACUGCAAGUCCUCUUGCUUGGUUUAUGGAGUGCAAGGAUCGGACCAAGCGUACCUCUGUGAUGUUACCAUACACUUUUCUGCCAACUAUGCCAGCUAGAAAACUGAGAGUUGCAGCACGUAAGAUAAAAGAGAUCCUUGGUGAAUAUGAUGCUAUUCAUGUCAGACGGGGUGACCUACUGAAGAAUAGGAAAGAUAGAUUUGGUGUUGAGAGGAGCCUUCAUCCUCAUCUGGACAGAGAUACCCACCCUGAGUUCAUCAAAAGAAGAAUCGCAAAGUGGAUUCCAAAAGGUCGCACUCUUUUCAUUGCUUCAAAUGAAAGGACACCAGGCUUCUUCUCGCCUCUAUCAGACAGGUACAAGUUGGCAUACUCAUCUAACUUCAGUGGCAUAUUGGAGCCAAUAAUCGAGAACAAUUACCAGUUAUUCAUGGUGGAAAGGUUAAUCAUGCAAGGAGCAAAGACAUUUGUGAAGACAAUGAAAGAACUAGAUAGUGAUCUUGCCCUCUGCGACGACCCCAAAAAGAACACCAAAAACUGGGAAGUACCAGUUUACACUAGAUGA
rnacentral:rRNA from 1 species